rnacentral:rRNA from 1 species
GUAGCAAUACAUCUGGCGGCGACCGGCGGAAGGGUGCGUAACGCGUGAGCAACAUUCCCGCAUCUGGGGGAUAAGCACUGGAAACGGUGUCUAAUACCCCAUAACAACGGAAAUCACAUGGUUUCUGUUUGAAAGCUGCGACGGAUGCGGAUUGGCUCGCGUGACAUUAGCUAGUCGGCGGGGUAACGGCCCACCGAGGCGACGAUGUCUAGGGGUUCUGAGAGGAAGGUCCCCCCACACUGGAACUGAGACACGGUCCAGACUCCUACGGGAGGCAGCAGUGAGGAAUAUUGGUCAAUGGGCGGAAGCCUGAACCAGCCAUGCCGCGUGAAGGAAUAAGGCCCUAUGGGUCGUAAACUUCUUUUGUGGUGGAGCAAUAAGGGCUACGCGUAGCCCGAUGAGAGUACAUCACGAAUAAGCAUCGGCUAACUCCGUGCCAGCAGCCGCGGCAAUACGGAGGAUGCAAGCGUUAUCCGGAUUUAUUGGGUUUAAAGGGUGCGUAGGCUGUGCCGCAAGUCGGGGGUGAAAGCCCGGGGCCCAACCCCGGAACUGCCCUUGAUACUGCGGCGCUGGAGUUCGGAUGCCGUGGGAGGAAUGAGUAGUGUAGCGGUGAAAUGCAUAGAUAUUACUCAGAACACCGAUUGCGAAGGCAUCUCACGAAUCCGACACUGACGCUGAGGCACGAAAGCGUGGGGAUCAAACAGGAUUAGAUACCCUGGUAGUCCACGCAGUAAACGAUGAUGACUAACUGUCGGCGAUAAACAGUCGGUGGCCAAGCGAAAGCGAUAAGUCAUCCACCUGGGGAGUACGUUCGCAAGAAUGAAACUCAAAGGAAUUGACGGGGGCCCGCACAAGCGGAGGAACAUGUGGUUUAAUUCGAUGAUACGCGAGGAGCCUUACCCGGGCUCGAACGGCUAGUGAACGACCCAGAGAUGGAA